AGAGAUGUGUGAUGACGCAUAUCAAUAAGCGGAGGAAAAGAAACUAACAAGGAUUCCCUUAGUAACGGCGAGUGAAGCGGGAAGAGCUCAAAUUUGAAAUCUUCAAGGUUCUACCUUGACGAAUUGUAGUUUAUAGAAGUGUUUUCUGUUAGUAGAGUGGCAAAAGUUCUUUGGAAUAGGACAUCAUAGAGGGUGAGAAUCCCGUAUUUGGUCAUUCCUCCUAGCUUUGUGAUACACUUUCAACGAGUCGGAUUGUUUGGGAAUGCAGUCCAAAAUGGGUGGUAAAUUUCAUCUAAAGCUAAAUAUUGGCGAGAGACCGAUAGCGAACAAGUACCGUGAGGGAAAGAUGAAAAGAACUUUGAAAAGAGAGUUAAACAGGUACGUGAAAUUGUCAAAAGGGAAGCGUUUGACACCAGUGUUGUUUUUCCGAAAAUCAAUUACGAAUGUUUUGUUUUUGAGGAGUUAUGACUUCAUCGGCUUGCUCCUUUCUUUACGAAACUUUCUUAAUGCACUUUUCGGUUAACAAGUCAACAUCAAUUUCUUUUGUUGUAAAAGGGUACGAGGAAGGUGGCUUUCUUUUCGGAGAAGGUGUUUAUAGCCUUGUGCCUCUGCAAUCGGAGAGAUUGAGGUCUGCAGCGUAGAUCCUUCGGGGUUAGAUACAUUUGUGCUAAGUUAUAGCUUUUCAUAGACAACUUGUUGACUAUGUUUAGUCUUGUAGCUUACUCGCUUAUGCUAUUUUACCUACGCUUAGGAUGUUGAAGAUGUAGCACAUCAU
rnacentral:rRNA from 1 species